rnacentral:miRNA from 1 species
AGGAAAGGAAAAGUAGCAAGA